rnacentral:rRNA from 1 species
GACGAACGCUGGCGGCGUGCUUAACACAUGCAAGUCGAACGGAAAGGGCCUGCUUUUGUUGGGUGCUCAAGUGUCGCAAGCGUGUGUGACACGUGAGUAACCUGCCCUUGGCUUUCUGGUAACUUCAGUAAACAGGGGCUCAUACCCGAUAUGCGCUCCUGCUGCAUGUUGUGUGUUGGAAAGAUUCGGCGGUUGGGGAUGGGCUCGCGGCUUAUCAGCUUGUUGGUGGGGUAGUGGCUCACCAAGGCUUUGACGGGUAGCCGGCCUGAGAGGGUGACCGGCCACAUUGGGACUGAGAUACGGCCCAGACUCCUACGGGAGGCAGCAGUGGGGAAUAUUGCACAAUGGGCGGAAGCCUGAUGCAGCAACGCCGCGUGAGGGAUGACGGCCUUCGGGUUGUAAACCGCUUUUGGCAGGGAAGAAGCGAGAGUGACGGUAAUGGGUAAAGAAGCACCGGCUAACUACGUG